UUGAUAGAUGUCUGACGGAUUCAAUAUUCAGCUCAUAAAGCUCUUACUGUUAGGAUCUCAGGAUUUCCGAGCUGCCUUGAACGCAGAAGUGGUUGACGAAAAGUGGUUUCAACUGACGUAAAACUCUGCCUAUAAAAGCGUUGGUGGUACGUCAGUUGUCCUCUCAUUCCCUCUGUGUGUCUCUUCGUACGCAGAACACAUCUCUGUCUCGGUCCUCCUGAAAGCACGCAACAGGAUAUGCCCUUGUUGCUGGAUUCGAUGGGGCAGGAGUUUGGGCAACACCUCUGGGACAUGAGGUAAUGAAACCAUUAGGACAGCUUGGUGUCCCCUCUCUGGCCUUCCACACUGCAGCAUGAUGUCAGCACCCUGACGUCCCUCAACAAGAGGGGGUAAACAAACAGGUGGCUGCUAUAAAUGCACACGAUUCCAGGAGGAAAACCAACCAUGUAUUCAAAGUGUGCUGUGGCAGAGGUUGUCCUCCCAUGGUGCAGCAGGGCGUCACAGUAGAGGUCGCUGUGAUGGAAGAAACAUCCUGAGUGAAGAACCUUGACACUGCAGAACGUGUGACAGCAGAGAGGCCUCCCAGGAUGCAGCAGGGCUUCCCAGCCGAGAAUCCUGGGAUAUUCCUGGAGAGGUGAAGAGGAGUGACUUGUCCCUUCCUGUUGCUGCUCAACUGAUCUGGAGAGAUCAUUGCAGAAAACGUUGUACAGCGGUUACUGUGUGGUUGUGUAUGCUGUGUACUUUCUAAAAUAAACAACCACUUCAAUCA